UUAAAUUGAUGAAUUUGAUGGUUGAUAUUAUAACUUUCAGACCAUAAUAAUAUUUAAAAGAGUAAUGAAAAUAUAUAAGAUUAUAUUUUCUAUACCAUAGAGUCACCUGAAAUUUAAAUAAAAUUAUUGUAUAACUAUCAAGUUAGAUUAAGCAAUCAAAUUAUAUAUUUAGCUUGUACAUCUGAUAAUGCUUUAUUACGGGACUUGUGAUAAUAUGUAAGUAAACAGUAAUGAAUAAGACCAACAUCGCUUGCUUACAAACCAAGACUGACAUUAAAAAUUACUUGAGUAUUUCUUUACUGUCUAUCAUCUUACUCCUCCUCCAAAAAUAUAUUUGCACAUUCUCUAAAAAUUAAGAUUGAAAAACUCGAAAGUCUGACAUAUUUUAGUUUUGAAAUUUUUCUAAACCAGUGUCGUAUUCACGCUUGGGUUCUUUACAUUACAAAAAACGAAAAAAAGUAUUUAAAAAAAAAAGUAUUGUGCAGUAAAAAAUUAUAAAUUAAUAAUAUCGAAACUAUGAUGAUUUAUUAAUUUAUAGAAUUAUUAACUUAGAAAAAAUGUUGGAAAGAGAAGAAAUGUAAAAUAAGUAUAAUUUUUUUAAAGGUGUAAUUAUAAGAAUAACAUAAGAAGAAUCGUUUAAUUAUGUAUUUUUGUUAAUGUCUGCUGGC
rnacentral:lncRNA from 1 species